rnacentral:rRNA from 1 species
UACGGAGGGUGCAAGCGUUGCUCGGAAUCACUGGGCGUAAAGCGUACGCAGGCGGCCGCCUAAGUCGGAUGUGAAAGCCCGGGGCUCAACCCCGGAAUUGCAUUCGAAACUGAGCGGCUUGAGUACGGGAGAGGGAAGCAGAAUUCCUGGUGUAGAGGUGAAAUUCGUAGAUAUCAGGAGGAAUACCUGUGGCGAAGGCGGCUUCCUGGCCCGAUACUGACGCUCAGGUACGAAAGCGUGGGGAGCAAACAGG